UUGAGGUUCGAUAAUUUUUUUCCAAGAGAAAUAAAGGAAUAAGAAAAAAGGUGAGAAAAUUUUCAUUAAAAAAGAAAGAAAAAUAAAAAUAAAUAAAGAAUAAAAAUAAAGAAAAAAUAAAAAAUAAAAAUGAGUGGUUGUAAAAUCGGAUUGUAAUAUUUUAGUUUAUAUGUAAUAUAUCGUAGCCAUUAUUCUGUAAUAUGUAACAUAUCGUAGCCAUUAUUCUGUAAUAGUUACAUGUUGAAGUAUAGUUUUUGGGUUAUCCUUGCCAAUUUCCUUUAGCAUACCCUCUCAUUAAAAAUACAUCACCAACUAUAUAACCACGCCAUAUUAAAAAUGAUUCUGGAGUCUUUUUUUUUUUUUUAUCGGACAGAUCUCUCAGACAAACAACAUAAAUAGGUAAGUGUGCGAGAGGUUAACAAUUACAUUUGAUUUCGUAGAUUGCAUAUCACCGAUUAGACUAUCUGACUUGAAUUAGGAAUCAAUUUUGUGGCAAAAAAAAAGUCAAAAUGAUAUUUAUAGUAUUGCCGUUUUGCUUUUGACAUUAUUAUUUUUAUCACUUAACUAUUUUCAUAUGUUACCAUUCUUUCUUUCCACUACUGUACCAUUCAGGUUUAGUUUGGGUCUAUUCAGAUUUCGGAUUUUCUGGGUUAAAAAUUUCAGUCACAUUCGGAUAUUUUUAAAUUUCGGUUCGGGUUCGAUUCGGAUAUUUGCGGGUUCAGUUCGGGUUCGGAUAACCCAUUUACAUUAUUUUUAAAUUUUUUAACUCAUUAUAUACUUUAAAUUUCUCAAAAUCUAUAAACAAAAUAAUAUAUUACAUAAAAAUUUGAAUAACAUAUGUCAAAAGACCUAAACUUAACAUACAAAUUGGUUUGGUUUGAAUAUUUGGAUAGAGAAUCAAU
rnacentral:lncRNA from 1 species